CUACACGACCGUACCGCAAACCGACACUGGUGCGCGAGAUGAGUAUUCUAAGGCGCUUGAGAGAACUCAGGAGAAGGAACUCGGCAAAUUGACACCGUAACUUCGGAAGAAGGUGUGCCUUUAGUAGGUGAACCAUUUACUUGGGGAGCCCAAUGAGGCUGCAAAAAAUCGGUGGCUGCAACUGUUUAUUAAAAACACAGCACUCUGCUAAGACGAAAGUCGACGUAUAGGGUGUGACGCCUGCCCGUGCUGGAAGAUUAAAUGAUGGGGUGCAAGCUCUUGAUUGAAGUCCCAGUAAACGGCGGCCGUAACUAUAACGGUCCUAAGGUAGCGAAAUUCCUUGUCGGGUAAGUUCCGACCUGCACGAAUGGCGUAAUGAUGGCCACACUGUCUCCUCCUGAGACUCAGCGAAGUUGAAAUGUUUGUGAUGAUGCAAUCUCCCCGCGGAAAGACGGAAAGACCCCAUGAACCUUUACUGUAGCUUUGUAUUGGACUUUGAACAGAUCUGUGUAGGAUAGGUGGGAGGCUUUGAAGUGUGGUCGCUAGAUCGCAUGGAGCCAACGUUGAAAUACCACCCUGGUGUGUUUGAGGUUCUAACCUAGGUCCAUUAUCUGGAUCGGGGACAGUGCAUGGUAGGCAGUUUGACUGGGGCGGUCUCCUCCCAAAGUGUAACGGAGGAGUUCGAAGGUACGCUAGGUACGGUCGGACAUCGUGCUAAUAGUGCAAUGGCAUAAGCGUGCUUAACUGCGAGACUGACAAGUCGAGCAGAUGCGAAAGCAGGACAUAGUGAUCCGGUGGUUCUAUGGAAGGGCCAUCGCUCAACGGAUAAAAGGUACUCUGGGGAUAACAGGCUGAUACCGCCCAAGAGUUCAUAUCGACGGCGGUGUUUGGCACCUCGAUGUCGGCUCAUCUCAUCCUGGGGCUGUAGCCGGUCCCAAGGGUAUGGCUGUUCGCCAUUUAAAGAGGUACGUGAGCUGGGUUUAAAACGUCGUGAGACAGUUUGGUCCCUAUCUUCCGUGGGCGCUGCAGAUUUGAGGAAGCCUGCUCCUAGUACGAGAGGACCGGAGUGGACGAACCUCUGGUGUAUCGGUUGUCACGCCAGUGGCAUUGCCGAGUAGCUAAGUUCGGAAGAGAUAACCGCUGAAAGCAUCUAAGCGGGAAACUCGUUUCAAGAUUAGAUCUGCCGGGGCCUUGAGCCCCCUAAAGAGUCGUUCAAGACCAGGACGUUGAUAGGUCAGGUGUGGAAC
rnacentral:rRNA from 1 species